CAUUAGGUGGCUGAAAGUAAGCAUUGGUCUCUUAAACCAAAAAAAAUAGUAAUCUUACACCUACUUCUAAUGA
rnacentral:tRNA from 1 species